UACGUAGGGUGCGAGCGUUAAUCGGAAUUACUGGGCGUAAAGUGUGCGCAGGCGGCCGCGCAAGUCGAGUGUGAAAGCCCCGAGCUUAACUUGGGAAUUGCGCUCGAAACUACGUGGCUGGAGUGUGGCAGAGGAAGGUGGAAUUCCCGGUGUAGAGGUGAAAUUCGUAGAUAUCGGGAGGAACACCGGUGGCGAAGGCGGCGACCUGGGUCGAUACUGACGCUGAGGUGCGAAAGCGUGGGGAGCAAACAGG
rnacentral:rRNA from 1 species